AUUGAACGCUGGCGGCAGGCCUAACACAUGCAAGUCGAACGAGUGGCGGACGGGUGAGUAAUGUCUGGGAAACUGCCCGAUGGAGGGGGAUAACUACUGGAAACGGUAGCUAAUACCGCAUACCAUCGGAUGUGCCCAGAGGGGAUUAGCUUGUAGGUGAGGGAACGGCUCACCUAGGGGACGAUCCCUAGCUGGUCUCAGAGGAUGACCAGCCACACGGGAACUGGUACACGGGCCAGAUUCCUCCGGGAGGCAGCAGUGGGGUAUAGUGCACAGUGGUCGCAAGCUGGAUGGAGCAAUGCGGGGUGUAGGAAGAAGGCCUUCGGGUUGUAAAGUACUUUCAGUGGGGAGGCGUUACCCGCAGAAGAAGCACCGGCUAACGCCGUGCCAGCAGCCGCGGUAAUUC
rnacentral:rRNA from 1 species